GCUGCCGAAAUUUUCCACCGCCAUCGCCGCCGUUGUUGCCGACCUCGACGCCGUCGCGCGGUGACGGUCUCCUCCGCCCUCGACGCCGACGCCGCCCCGCGGUGAGAGCCUCUCCUGCUCGCGCGUUCCCUCUCUCUCUCUCCCUGCGCAUCCUCGACGUGGCGGCGGUGGUGGUGGUGGGGGCGCGAUGGUGGCGCUGCCCGGACGGGGAAGAGGGGCGGCCGCGGUGGUGGUGGUGGAAGGGGAAGGGAUGACCGCGGUGGCGAUGGUGGAAGAGGAUGGGGCUGGUGCGGGGUGUGCGGUGGUGGGCGGUGCGGUGGCGGCGGCGGCUGGAGGUAGGGGAUGACCCCGACAGGUGGGGCCCACCUGCCAGAGAGAGGGAGAGAAGGGAGAGGGAGUGACGGCCUGCUGGGCCUGUUGGGCUGGAAUUUUUUUUUCUUUAACAAUUUUUUUAUAUAUAGAAAUCAAUUAUUCAUAUAUGUAUGAUGUAUGUAUAUAUAGAAAUGAAUAAAUAUUAUUAUUAAUAUUAAAUUAAUUAUUAUGUUUUUUUUAUCUCUUUAUAUAUAAAUAAGAGUUAUUAUUAAUUAUAUUAUUAUUAAUUAUAUUAUUAAUAAUAUAUAUUCCAAGUGAGGGAGAAGUGAGAAUUUGUGCCUUUAUAUAUAAUGCUAACAUAAUUUAAUUAAUUAUUAUGUCUUUAAUCCUUUGUAUAUAAAUAUUAUAUGCAUGUAUUUAAUUAAGUUGUGCCUAUCUUUUUAUGUAUGAUGUAUGUAUAUAUGAAAAUCAAUAAAUAUUAUUAUUAAUAUUAAAUUAAUUAUUAUGUCUUUUUUAUCUCUUUGUAUAUAAAUAAGAGUUAUUAUUAAUUAUAUUAUUAAUAAUAUAUAUUCCAAGUGAGGGAGAAGUGAGAAUUUGUGCCUUUAUAUAUAAUGCUAACAUAAUUUAAUUAAUUAUUAUGUCUUUAAUCCUUCGUAUGUAAGUAUUAUAUGCAUGUAUUUAAUUAAGUUGUGCCUAUCUUUUUAUGUAUGAUGUAUGUAUAUAUGGAAAUCUAUAAAUAUUAUUAUUAAUAUUAAAAUAAUAAUAAUAAUUAUGUCUUUUUUAUCUCUUUGUAUAUAAAUAAUUAUAAUUAUUAAUAACAUAAUGCUA
rnacentral:lncRNA from 1 species